rnacentral:rRNA from 1 species
GGCAAAAGCUCAAAUUUGAAAUCUGGUACCUUCGGUGCCCGAGUUGUAAUUUGGAGAGGGCAACUUUGGGGCCGUUCCUUGUCUAUGUUCCUUGGAACAGGACGUCAUAGAGGGUGAGAAUCCCGUGUGGCGAGGAGUGCGGUUCUUUGUAAAGUGCCUUCGAAGAGUCGAGUUGUUUGGGAAUGCAGCUCUAAGUGGGUGGUAAAUUCCAUCUAAAGCUAAAUAUUGGCGAGAGACCGAUAGCGAACAAGUACAGUGAUGGAAAGAUGAAAAGAACUUUGAAAAGAGAGUGAAAAAGUACGUGAAAUUGUUGAAAGGGAAGGGCAUUUGAUCAGACAUGGUGUUUUGUGCCCUCUGCUCCUUGUGGGUAGGGGAAUCUCGCAUUUCACUGGGCCAGCAUCAGUUUUGGUGGCAGGAUAAAUCCAUAGGAAUGUAGCUUGCCUCGGUAAGUAUUAUAGCCUGUGGGAAUACUGCCAGCUGGGACUGAGGACUGCGACGUAAGUCAAGGAUGCUGGCAUAAUGGUUAUAU